GAUGAAGAACGUAGCGAAAUGCGAUAAGUAAUGUGAAUUGCAGAAUUCAGUGAAUCAUCGAAUCUUUGAACGCACAUUGCGCCCGCCAGUAUUCUGGUGGGCAUGCCUGUUCGAGCGUCAUUUCAACCAUCAAGCCCCAGGCUUGUGUUGGGGACCUGCGGCUGCCGCAGGCCCUGAAAACCAGUGGCGGGCUCGCUGUCACACCGGGCGUAGUAGAUUUUAUCUCGCUCAGGGCGUGCUGCGGGUCCCGGCCGUUAAAAGCCUUUUUUUACCCAAGGUUGACCUCGGAUCAGGUAGGAAGACCCGCUGAACUUAAGCAUAUCAAUAAGCGGAGGA
rnacentral:misc_RNA from 1 species